GUGAGGAAUAUUGGUCAAUGGGCGGAAGCCUGAACCAGCCAAGUAGCGUGCAGGAUGACGGCCCUAUGGGUUGUAAACUGCUUUUAUACAGGAAUAAAGUUAGCCACGUGUGGUUAUUUGUAGGUACUGUAUGAAUAAGGACCGGCUAAUUCCGUGCCAGCAGCCGCGGUAAUACGGAAGGUCCAGGCGUUAUCCGGAUUUAUUGGGUUUAAAGGGAGCGUAGGCCGUCUGUUAAGCGUGUUGUGAAAUGUAGAUGCUCAACAUCUGAAUUGCAGCGCGAACUGGCAGACUUGAGUGUGCGCGACGUAGGCGGAAGUCGUGGUGUAGCGGUGAAAUGCUUAGAUAUCACGAAGAACUCCGAUUGCGAAGGCAGCUUACGGGAGCACAACUGACGCUGAAGCUCGAAAGUGCGGGUAUCGAACAGGAUUAGAUACCCGGGUAGUCC
rnacentral:rRNA from 1 species